rnacentral:rRNA from 1 species
GACGAACGCUGGCGGCGUGCUUAACACAUGCAAGUCGAACGAAGUGGCGAACGGGUGAGUAACGCGUAAUCAACCUGCCCAUCAGAGGGGGACAACAGUUGGAAACGACUGCUAAUACCGCAUACGGAAGGAGGGGAUUGCUUCUGAUUAGACAGUUGGAGGGGUAACGGCCAACCAAGGCGAUGAUCAGUAGCCGGUCUGAGAGGAGGAACGGCCACAUUGGGACUGUGACACGGCCCAGACGCCUACGGGAGGCAGCAGGGGGGAAUCUUCCGCAAUGGACGAAAGGCUGACGGAGCAACGCCGCGUGAGUGAUGACGGCCUUCGGGUUGUAAAGCUCUGUUAAUCGGGACGCGGUACCGGAAUAGAAAGCCACGGCUAACUACGUGCCAGCAGCCGCGGUAAUAC